UGGGCUACUACGAUGGCGAUGAGUUUCGAGUGGCCGUGGCAGUAUCGCUUCCCACCCUUCUUUACGUUACAACCGAAUGUGGACACUCGGCAGAAGCAGCUGGCCGCCUGGUGCUCGCUGGUCCUGUCCUUCUGCCGCCUGCACAAACAGUCCAGCAUGACGGUGAUGGAAGCUCAGGAGAGCCCGCUCUUCAACAACGUCAAGCUACAGCGAAAGCUUCCUGUGGAGUCGAUCCAGAUUGUAUUAGAGGAACUGAGGAAGAAAGGUGGGUUCAGUUCCCCAGAUUCCUUAUUUUUCUUCCUAGUUGGGUUUUCCUGAGGGCAAAUUAGGAUAAGUCUUUUUCCCUUUAAUAACUUUUUCUCUCUCCUGGCUUGAAGGCCAGAGUCUUCUGUAAAGUAGGCAGCCCAAUUCCCACGUCCUUUCUUCUUCUUUGUACACAAAAUUGAAAUCCCUGUCUGUGCCCUAAACCUGAAGAGAAGUGGAAGAAGGAUGAGUGCCUUGUAGAUAAUAAUAGUAAAAUAAAUAUUGAAUCUCUCUUUCUGAAAGCUGAGUGUCUUCCACUCUGUCCCACCUUGGUAUUUUUUUGCCUGUUUAUUUCUUUUUAGAUCAUGAUACUUUUUGGGGGGGGAAAGAGAUAAGGUCUCACUGUCACCCAGGCUGGAGUGCAGUGGCUCAGUCCUAUCUCACUGCAGCCUCGACUUCCCAGGCUCAGGUGAUCCUCCCAUCUCAGCCUCCUGAGUAGUUGAGACCACAGGCAUGUGUCACUACACACCUGGCUAAUUUUUUGUAUUUUCUGUAGAGAGAAUUUUUGGUAUUUUCUGUAGGGUCUCGUCAUGUUGCCCAGGCUAGUUUCGAACUCCUGGGCUCAAGUGAUCCUCUCGCCUUGGCCUCCCAAAGUGUAAGCCACUGCGCC
rnacentral:sRNA from 1 species